CCGUAGCGAACAGCUCAGUAACACGUGGCCAAGCUACCCUAUGGACGUGGACACCCUCGGGAAACUGAGGCUAAUCCGCGAUACGGCUCCCACGCUUGAAUGCGGGGAGCCGGAAACGCUCCGGCGCCAUAGGAUGCGGCUGCGGCCGAUUAGGUAGACGGUGGGGUAACGGCCCACCGUGCCGAUAAUCGGUACGGGAUGUGAGAGCAAAUAGCCCGGAGAUGGAAUCUGAGACAAGAUUCCAGGCCCUACGGGGCGCAGCAGGCGCGAAACCUUUACACUGCACGCCAGUGCGAUAAGGGGACCCCGAGUGCGAGGGCAUACAGUCCUCGCUUUUGUACACCGUAAGGAGGUGUACGAAUAAGGGCUGGGCAAGACCGGUGCCAGCCGCCGCGGUAAUACCGGCAGCCCGAGUGAUGGCCGCUGUUAUUGGGCCUAAAGCGUCCGUAGCCGGCCGAACAAGUCUGUCGGGAAAUCCAUCCGCUCAACGGAUGGGCGUCCGGCAGAAACUGUUCGGCUUGGGGCCGGAAGAUCCGAGGGGUACGUCCGGGGUAGGAGUGAAAUCCUGUAAUCCUGGACGGACCGCCGGUGGCGAAAGCGCCUCGGAAGGACGGACCCGACGGUGA
rnacentral:rRNA from 1 species